AGGCGUCCACCUGGUGUACAAUUAAGAAACACAUCAGUCCCGCGUGGCGUGCGGCCACACCGUUUACCGGCCGGUCAUCAUACAGCGCGUGUUCACGGGUGGCUGGGUUGUUGCUGUCACCCCCUUCUAUCGUUGCUUAAUUUGGCUUAAGUAUGAUAUCUACAUUUUUGUCCGAAAAAGUAGCCAAGGCUACUUAUUAAUAUCAUCACAGAAUCUGCCUUCAUUAACUGACUGAGAAGAAGAUGCAUAGACGCUUUAUUUUGUGUAAUGUCAGUCCCCGACAGCAGGAUAAAACCUCUUUAAAUACCACAGACAAUCCCCGAAACAACCUAGUAUUCGUUUUUGAAGAAUACCAAGAAAUGUCGCCUGUCUGCAUUAUAAAUGCGCUGUGGCACAGUCAGCCGCGACUGCAUUUUUGCAUCGCAGUGCACACAAAUCCAGGUAACAUCUGGUCGGCUUCCGCCGAAAUACGCUGACUUUCUUUGUUACAGGUAGGCAUUUAAAAUAUAGUUAUUUGUUAGAGCACAAAAAUCCUCAAAGAUAGCGUUUACGGAAACCUAAGCCCACUACUUGGUCGCAGGUAGGCUAUAUAUUAACGGGCGAACAGAUGCAAAUGCACAUCUUGGCAGCUAGCCUGUGCAGCCUGCCGCACGCUGGAUUUUUUCUUGUGUCAGACGGCACAAAGGAUUCGGAUGUGAACUUGACGGAAUGUUCACCAUUGUAACGCGGCUGUCUGCUGCCCCGCUGCACUUAGCAUUUCGUGCUCGCAAUUAGGCUGCUGCAAGGGCAAAUACACCAUCCGGACCCAAUACCAAAAGUAUAGCACCCAUAGCCAGAUACUGCACAACAAUUGGUUAUAUUGUUAUAUUAUUACCAUAUAAUAUAAAUAGGGUGAACAAAAAGCAAACGUAAGCAAUGCUUACUCUCAAAACCACUAAAAACAUUGCUUCACCACGAUUCAAUCCGUAAGCAAACGUAGGAGGCUGUGCGUAUUUAAGUAAUAAUUAAUAACCGGUGGAAGAUGACAGACGGGACGUAGUCCAGGUACCUGUUUUAGUGCCUCUAUCGCAAUCCAUCACGCACAGUUCAGAGGAUGCACUAUAAGUACACAUAUAAAUCCUGUCUGAUUGCAGCCCUCCAGCACCAGAGCUGGAUAACACUGGUGUGCAUCUCUAUCACAGGACUUCAGGCCAGCAGUGAAGAUAGAAAUCAGAAUGACAAAUUGGGACGGACUGAAGAAGACCAGUGAUGCACCUUUCUUGUUUCAUUCAGCAACAACAAGAAACACUUUGAUGAAUGUUUCCUGCUCUUGGUCUGCCAAUAUGAUGGGGCUUGGCCUGCUUCUUAAAAAUUCCUGUUAAACUCUCAACCACUAGAAUUUCUGGUUGGAUAAACUCUAAAAAUUUUACAUUUUAAAGAAUAAAGUUAACGAUAAUUAAAUAUACUCACCAUCUAAUUGAGGUGUUAUCUUCACAUUCAGCCAUUUGUUUUGGUAAGGGAAAAAGAAGGGAAAUUAACUGCCGAUGUUAACAUGGAUAAAAUAUAACCACACCUCCGGUAUUUUUAUUCAUUUCCAAACAAACCUAUGCUGGGCCACACUUAUUUGUGAACUGAGCCAUACUUUCCUGAUCAAAGGGUUCACAGAUCCUAUGCUGACUGCCUCCCAUGCCUCAUAAGUGUAUUGGCCCAUCAAAGUUAUCCAUCAUAAGCAGUCAUAAUUUCUUGUCUGUUCAGUUCAGUGGAAUUUUCUAGCACCAGGACCGAUAAACACCUGUCUAAGGGGAAAAAACAGAUUGCCUGUCCUUAAUAUGCAACACCACAAGGAUUGUGUACUGUAUAUUGCAGACUAAGCAUAUUCUAGGCCUGGAUCACAACCCACAGCUGGUUGUAAAUGUCAAUCACCAAGCCAUGAGAGGAUGAGUCUAUGAAUUUGUCUAAUAAUUUAAAAAGGCUGAGGGAUUGAUAUUAUAUUUUCACUGUUUCUCUGAAAUCAUCUCCAAACCUGGUCUCAUAAUAGAGGACUACUCAUGAGAGACAAUACCUAACAUCUUAUGAGAGAAAAUAAAGUAUAUUUUACAGCCAAUGUCCAAUAACAGGGUCAAUGAUAUGAUAGUAUCUCAUCAAAAAUACUUUAAGCAUAAAAAAGACAAGUUACUCAUACACAAAGUGUACACUCUCAAGUAUAAUAUUAUAAUAUAUUGUAUUAUGAUUUUCAGAAAGAUUCAGAUGGUUUCUCCUUCACAGAACUAUUCGUUUUUCCAGCAGCUCAUCUACGAAUUAAUCCUAAUUUGCU